UGGGGAAUAUUGCACAAUGGGGGAAACCCUGAUGCAGCGACGCCGCGUGAACGAAGAAGGUAUUCGUAUCGUAAAGUUCUGUCUUAUGGGAAGAUAAUGACAGUACCAUAGAAGAAAGCUCCGGCUAAAUACGUGCCAGCAGCCGCGGUAAUACGUAUGGAGCGAGCGUUGUCCGGAAUUAUUGGGCGUAAAGGGUACGCAGGCGGUUUAAUAAGUCGAAUGUUAAGGAUCGGGGCUCAACCCCGCAAAGCAUUGGAAACUGAUAAACUUGAGUAGUGGAGAGGAAAGUGGAAUUCCUAGUGUAGUGGUGAAAUACGUAGAUAUUAGGAGGAAUACCAGUAGCGAAGGCGACUUUCUGGACACAAACUGACGCUGAGGUACGAAAGCGUGGGGAGCAAACAGG
rnacentral:rRNA from 1 species